rnacentral:misc_RNA from 1 species
CUUGGUUGCCAUCUGCUAGAGUAACCACUCAAUUAUAAAAAUGAUAAGAAAAAGGCUGCUUUAUUUCACAAGACCAUAGUUAUUAAACAUGUAAACUACAGUAAGGCGCAAAGGAGUCUUGGAACCUGGGCGCAACAAUCUACAAAGCAUUAAUCUAAACUCAACAAUCAAACUGCCAAGAAAAAGAGCACAAAAGGAACAUAGACUUGACCAAGAACAAAGCUAAGAUG